rnacentral:rRNA from 1 species
UACAGAGGUCUCAAGCGUUGUUCGGAUUCAUUGGGCGUAAAGGGUGCGUAGGCGGCGCGGUAAGUCGGGUGUGAAAUCUCGGAGCUUAACUCCGAAACUGCAUUCGAUACUGCCGUGCUUGAGGACUGGAGAGGAGACUGGAAUUUACGGUGUAGCGGUGAAAUGCGUAGAUAUCGUAAGGAAGACCAGUGGCGAAGGCGGGUCUCUGGACAGUUCCUGACGCUGAGGCACGAAGGCCAGGGGGGCAAACAGG